rnacentral:rRNA from 1 species
GACGAAGGUGGCGAGCGUUGCUCGGAAUCACUGGGCAUAAAGCGCACGUAGGCGGCGACGUAAGUUGGGUGUGAAAUCCCUCGGCCCAACCGAGGAACUGCGCCCAGUACUGCGUUGCUUGAGGAUCCAAGGGGUGCAUGGAAUUCCCGGUGGAGCGGUGAAAUGCGUUGAUAUCGGGAGGAACUCCGGCGGCGAAAGCGGUGCACUGGUGGAUUACUGACGCUGAGGUGCGAAAGCCAGGGGAGCAAACGGG